UAGGCGCCGAGCAGGAAGGCAGAGGUCGAGCUGGGGGUUCCUGGGGCUGGGCGUCGGCUCGGAAUCAGAGCUAACCUGAGAAGCACCCACAGAAGAUUCUGAGAGACUCUGAAGGGCCCCUGAAGAUUCAGCAUUCAACCCCAGGGGCUGCCGGUUAGAGACCAGAUAACAUGCCCUGUUCUAAGAAGAGACAGUGUGUAUUUAUACUGACUGCCAGCCAGGUGCUUUGCUGGGCUCAUUCUACAUAUUCACUUAGUUAACCCCUGCCCCGAGCCUGGGUCAGAAUUAAAGUAGGCACUUUCACUUAGCCCCAUUUUAUGGAUGAGGGAGUUGAGGCACAGAGAAAACAUGUGUCUACUAAAACAUAGUCCAUUGUUUUUCUUUCUCUCCUGGGAUUUGGGGGCAGGGGAUGGGGUGGAUGGGUGGCGAUCUUUCUCCAGACCGGUGGACUUUUGCUUACGUAUACCCAGCAACUUUUCAUAGAUAAGGAAACAGAGCUCAGGGUGGUGAGAUCCAUGGUCCAGGUCCUCUGGCCACCACCGGGCGGCCUUUUCUCUCCUGGCAUCCUGGGCUAGCCACCCACUGGCUUCGCCCACCAGCUUCCUCCUUCAGCUUUUUCAGACCCACUUGCUGGGUGAUUCUGUACUGUCUUUUCUCCUGCUUCCUCUGGUGAAAACAUCCCCAGAGGCCAACUUGUGCAUGCUCAGCCCAGGGGCUUGAUGAGGACAAAGUUGGGUUUGGGUUUUAGUUUUUGUUGUUUUUUGUUUUGGGUGAUCAUUAUUAACCGAGCAAAUCCAAACUGCCCACGCUGCUAGACUAGAAACGCUGCUGCCAGGCCCCCUUGCAGGUGUCUGGAACAAGAAAUGGCUCACUGCUUCACCCUUUAGACCCGGGGGCGGGGGCGAGGACAGGCCGGGAGGGCCAUCAGCGGCCACCUGCCGUGUUAGGGGUGUGUUAGAGGCCGCAGGAGCCUGGGCCUCAGCCCAUGGGCCCCAGGCCAGCCCACUGCCAACCAGCCUCCACCUGAGUACCGCCCCCGCUCCACCGCCACUCCGCUCCCCUGCUGUGGCCCGCCCUUCCGGAAUGAACCUUGUCCUGGCUUGGAGCCACCAGGAAGGCCAGAGCAAGCCUGCAAUUACUGCCAGGGCCCUGCCGUCUGUGACUUGGAGGCUCAGCAUGGGGUGGGGGUGGAGCUCUUCCCCGUCGGGCUGUGUGCCUGGAGUGGUGGCUCAAGUCUGCAGCUUCUACCUGCAGGUGGUCUCCUGCUGCCUUCUGGCUCCCCAGGGAUAUUGCCUUGUAAACAGAUACUUGGAUUUUCAAAGUACUCUCCCGUUGUUUGGGACAAGGCAUUAUUACCUUCCGAGAGGGGGGGGCAUGAAACCAGUUCUUUUUUUUUUUUUUUUUCCCCAUGCCCUGGGGCUUGCUGGAUCCUAGUUCCCCAACCAGGGAUCGAACCCGUGCCCCCUGCAGUGGAAGCACGGAGUCCUAACCACUGGACCGCCAGGGAAGUCCCUCUGAGGGAGAAACUGAGGCUGUGAGAAGGGGGUACCCCAGGAUCUCCAAAACCUUCCUUUUAGCAAGGGCGGCUUCCCCUCUCGUUGCUUUGCAUCUCUGGAUCCUGCUGCGGAGAUGAGGCUACCGAGGAGGGAACGUGCAGGAGAGGGCCUCUGGGGACUCUGCAGUCAGCGGGCACUAAUGUGUCUGUCUCUGCAGCCUGGGCGUCCUUCUGUCUCCCCUGACCUCCCUCCCUUCUCCCCAGGCUUGUCCCUCUUUCUCACGACUUUCUGGACAUCUGUGGGCGGCGCAUACUUGUUGCCCAAUCUCCCAGUGGUUCCACUGUGACUAAAGCCAGCUCUGUCCCUGGAGGCUGGAGCCAGGGUGCACCCCCAGGGCCACAUGUCCCAAGCUUGGACCUGGGCUUCCGGUCAGACUGGGCGAGUGGGCAGGCAGGCUGGGUCUUCUCAACACCCUGAGCUGAUUCUAGGCCCAGCAGGUUACACAAACACACACAGACACACACAGACACACACAGACACACACACACACACACGGCUCUGGGAAAUUCUCUGCCCACCCUCUGAAUGGCCCAGGUUCCCUCUGAUUGUCCUGGAUUACCCUAGUGUACUUGUCCCUGCUCUUGGUCAAUUUCCCUCCUUGCAGCUACCCUGUAUGUUCUAGAAAGCUGGGGAAAGAUCCUCAGAGCCAUCCUCCUGCCAGCCACCCACCAGAUGGGCCAGGUCUCGGGCAUGCUCCCUGCUCUGUGCUCAAGGCCAGCAUGAUUCUUCCCCCAAACCUUCUCCAAUUCAUAUUGCACCAGAGCCCAUCCUGUCCCGUUGCCAUGGCAUCUGUGGUACCCAGAAGCCAGAUGGUCUUAUGUUCCCUAAUGCCCCUUCCAGGCUCAGGCACUUCUGAGCUCUGCGAGAGUAUACUCUGUACCCCUAAAUCCCCCCCAUCACACUGAGGCUGUGUGCCCCAGUAGCUCAUCUGUCUCCCCCCAUGACUCUGAGACAGGCAGUGAUAACACUUGUCUGAAUUUCAGAUUUGAACUCGGGUCUGUGGGAGCCUUGGAGCCUAAGGUCUUAAGAAUGACAAUCAUCAUAACAGCUGUUGCUUCCUGGUGAGGCACUUUACCUAUGGAGUCCUCACCGCAAAGAUUUAUUACCUUAUCCUCAUUUCACAUUGUUGAAACUGAGGCGCAGGGAGGCUGGAUAGCUUGCCUGCUCUAUAUAGUCUUUACAGCGAAAAAGUGCCAGUUUCUUGACUCUUGACAUUUGGGGCUGGAUCGUUCUCUGUUGGGGGUGGGGGCUCUGCCUUGUGCAUCUCAGGAUGUUGAGCUGCAGUCCUGGCCUCCAUCCACUAGUGUUACCUGAAAACUGGGAUUACCUCUAGGAGGGUGUCAAGCCAAAAGACACAAUCAAGCCAAAGAUUGGGAGAAGGAAGGAUUUAUUAUUUGCAGCAGGUAAGGAGAAUACCAGAGAUCUUUCCUAAAGCAGUGUCUCUCUGAACAGCAAAACUGGGGAAGAUUCAAGUAAGGGUAUGUGUAUAUUCAGGAAGGGGCUUGAGCAGAGGAGAAUUCAGCAUAGAAUUGGGGCAAAGGUAGAUGGAGUCCAAGCUUUACUUGAUUGAAGUCGGAAGGGUCAACAUCAUCAUUCUAUCUUCCACCUGGGUCGGGGCCUUAGUUUCUGCAGAACUCAAAAGACCUGUAUCAGGUUGUUAUGUAUAUCCCUUCAGGAGGAGCUAGGUCUCUAUUUUAUCGCUGAAAUAUUGUUUCUUGACUACUUUUCCUGUGUUCCUGCAUUCCCUCGCUUCCCUUAAGGUCACUGAUUACUGAGACCCGUUCAAGGGUGAGCAUCGUGGCCAGGCUUAGAUCACAAAGUGGCUUAGGCCAGAAAUGGCUUCACUUAUGUCAAGAAAGCCAUGUCUGGUUCUUUUUCUUUGGGGACCCCCUACCCUAUCUCCUUACAUUAGGUACCAGAGCGCCUCUUCCUACAGUCAUGGCAACAAAUAAUGUCCCCAGAUGUGGCUUUAAUUUGGUGUGGGGUGGGGAGCAGCCUCACCACCUGCCUUUGACUGCCCUGACUCUCCACAUAGGUGCCCGCCUGCAGAAUAUCAGUGUGUGUGUGUGUGUGUCUGUGUGUGUGUCUGUCUGUCUUUUCCCAAAAACAGGCAUGGAGUUCUGGGGAUGGAGGUGAUUGGUAGGUUCUGGCAUCUUGGGGAGGGGUCAGCGGGGCUGUCAUUCUAGGCCAUGUCCCCUUUUCCUGGCGGGAGGCGUGCAGGUUCCCCAGGCCCUGGCGUGUGGAGACAGGCAGCCCUUUUCUUCCUUCCUGGUUCCCAGGGGUGGGUGAUAGUGGCAGAGGCAGCCCAGGAGCCAGAGGGCAUGGGGAGCCGCGACCUGGCCUCCGGAUUUACUGGGCGGGUGCCCGGGUGUGUGCACUGAGACCCAAGGGCCCUUGUGGGUGUGGAGGAGAAACCAGAGGCUAAAGUAGGUCUCCCCACCUGCCUGCCUGCCACCCUGCCUGCCACCCUCAUAUCCCACCCAGCCCUGGCUCCAGGCCAGCUACUGCCAGAAUAGUGACUCACAGAGCUGCAGAGCCCAGGAGAGAAACAGGGUGCAGGGUGGGGUGUCCCCCUCAUCCUCAACCUUCCCAGCGUCCCUGUUAAGACCAGGACCCUUGAGGCUGCAUUUCACUCUCCCUGCGUGACACUGCCAUCCCCCUUCCCCGCCCCCCACGAGUGGGAUUUUUUUUUUUCUCGGCACCGCGCUACGGCAGGAAGACAGAAACGAGUGUGGGGCAUGGAAUGUCUCUGAGGUUGGAAUAUAUUUAGGCCAGGAUGAGAGAGUAUGUGUGCUGGGGGGCAGUCUAUAAAAACUAACCACCCUAUAUUUUCGGCUGCUCUCACCUUUGGAAACAGACCCCAUUCUGUCUAUGGAUUGUGUAUCUCUCUCAAUAAAUCUCCUUACCUGUCA